GCCUAUCAGAAAGGAGCUGGGUAAACUAUUGGUGAAGAAGUGGAGCAGGUGAACAGUUUCCUAUCUAGGAUUGCUAUUACUACCAAGUACAUGUCAAAAUCAGGUCGUGUAGACAUUAUUACAAUGCAGGCCAUGUCCUGGAAUGAGCGCAAGCAUCUCAAUUUGGGACAGGCUUUAGUUCAUAGAUAUUUAAAGACUCAGAAAGCUUUGCAAGAGCAAGAGUGCAUCUUGGGGGCACUGAAGAGCUAGAACUGCAUGAUGAUUGUGUAGUUAAUCAGUGGGUUUCAGAUUUACAGCAGUGGGCAGAAGAAAAUGACAGAUUUGGAAGUGAUGAUCUGAAAAGAUUACAAGAGGAAAUAGAGGGGCUGACAGUGAGCAUCAAAAGGCGAACACAGCGUCUGUACAGUCAAACAGAUAGCAACAAGCGGCGCCACGCCAUUCUUUGCAUCAUCAAAGGAAUGAGGAAAAGGAAAGAAACCUUGUUGUGCAUUCCCUCCUAUACUUCAGCUUUAAUCGUCCUUGUAACAUGGCCUUUUAAACUAAUGGUACUGUUUAUGAUAACAUAUUUAUGACAAUUUAACAAUUGACAAAAUGUUUAAAUGCUCUCCUACUUGUAAGUCGCUUUGGAUAAAAGGGUCUGCCAAAUGAAUAAAUGUAAAUGUAAAAGCUGGCUGCUGCAGUGGAAGAAUACAACAGAAUAGCCAAUUUUUCACAGCAGCUUGGUUCAGAUGAAGACUUCUUUAUAGCUGAGACUGUUGCUUGGCUAUGGCAAAUUCUCGGCAAUACUGAAUCUUUGCCUUUUCUCACCAAGAGGAAUGUGUUUGACAGAGUGAUGGCAGACGACUUAAGGAAGAAAAAAGUCUAAUUUGUAAGGAGAUGCAACAACAUGGAUGGUCCUGACACAUAAGUCCAAGCUUAAAGCGCUGAUCAGUGAAAUAAGUUCUAAAGUGAGAAAGUCUUUACACAUUCGUUUAUACACUCACCUAAAGGAUUAUUAGGAACACCUGUUCAAUUUCUCAUUAAUGCAAUUAUCUAAUCAACCAAUCACAUGGCAGUUGCUUCAAUGCAUUUAGGGGUGUGGUCCUGGUCAAGACAAUCUCCUGAACUCCAAACUGAAUGUCAGAAUGGGAAAGAAAGGUGAUUUAAGCAAUUUUGAGCGUGGCAUGGUUGUUGGUGCCAGACGGGCCGGUCUGAGUAUUUCACAAUCUGCUCAGUUACUGGGAUUUUCACGCACAACCAUUUCUAGGGUUUACAAAGAAUGGUGUGAAAAGGGAAAAACAUCCAGUAUGCGGCAGUCCUGUGGGCGAAAAUGCCUUGUUGAUGCUAGAGGUCAGAGGAGAAUGGGCCGACUGAUUCAAGCUGAUAGAAGAGCAACUUUGACUGAAAUAACCACUCGUUACAACCGAGGUAUGCAGCAAAGCAUUUGUGAAGCCACAACACGCACAACCUUGAGGUAGAUGGGCUACAACAGCAGAAGACCCCACCGGGUACCACUCAUCUCCACUACAAAUAGGAAAAAGAGGCUACAAUUUGCACGAGCUCACCAAAAUUGGACAGUUGAAGACUGGAAAAAUGUUGCCUGGUCUGAUGAGUCUCGAUUUCUGUUGAGACAUUCAAAUGGUAGAGUCAGAAUUUGGCGUAAACAGAAUGAGAACAUGGAUCCAUCAUGCCUUGUUACCACUGUGCAGGCUGGUGGUGGUGGUGUAAUGGUGUGGGGGAUGUUUUCUUGGCACACUUUAGGCCCCUUAGUGCCAAUUGGGCAUCGUUUAAAUGCCACGGCCUACCUGAGCAUUGUUUCUGACCAUGUCCAUCCCUUUAUGACCACCAUGUACCCAUCCUCUAAUGGCUACUUCCAGCAGGAUAAUGCACCAUGUCACAAAGCUCGAAUCAUUUCAAAUUGGUUUCUUGAACAUGACAAUGAGUUCACUGUACUAGAAUGGCCCCCACAGUCACCAGAUCUCAACCCGAUAGAACAUCUUUGGGAUGUGGUGGAACGGGAGCUUCGUGCCCUGGAUGUGCAUCCCACAAAUCUCCAUCAACUGCAAGAUGCUAUCCUAUCAAUAUGGGCCAACAUUUCUAAAGAAUGCUUUCAGCACCUUGUUGAAUCAAUGCCACGUAGAAUUAAGGCAGUUCUGAAGGCGAAAGGGGGUCAAACACCGUAUUAGUAUGGUGUUCCUAAUAAUCCUUUAGGUGAGU